GCGAGGGUGGCGGAAUUGGUAGACGCACCAGAUUUAGGUUCUGGCGGGGUAACCCGUGAGGGUUCGAGUCCCUCCCUUCGCACCA
rnacentral:tRNA from 1 species